UCUAAAAACCCAGCAAAGCUGAAGAAUUGGCAAGAGCUCACCACUUCCCUUGAAAGAAAGCAGUACGUCUGGACACAGCCCAGCACUCCCCCCUCACGCGUGGCCGAUAACAGCAGUUACUGUAGGCCUCAGCUCCAGAUAAGCCAGGCCCAGACAGGGACCACCGUUCUCCAACCUCGCCGGAAGAGAAGAGAGCGAACUAUCUUAUCAAUGCCUUAUUUAUACCCUAGGUUACGUAAAGGAAUAGCAUGGAAUACUUCCUUGGUCACCUUCCUAGUUCCUUCCUGGUUACAAGCUGGUUUCCAGGAAGGCCUAGACUGAAACCAUCACAAACCUCUACAUUCAUUUGAAGCAAUGGAAUGGGCUGCCCAGGGAGGUGGUGGAGCCACCAGUCAACAACUGGACAUGGCACUUAGUGCUAUGAUCUAGCUGACAAGGUGGAGAUCAGUCAAAGGCUAUUAAACACCCCUCAGAAAACAGAUCUGAAGAAAGAAUGAAUGAAGGUCUAUACCACUGAAGGCAGAUUUUUCCCCUGUGAAGAAAACAAAAAUAAUACUUGAAUUAAUUUGCAAAACAUUUACUGAUCUUAUCAAGACAGAAAGAUAAAGUACCGUAGACUGUGGAAAACUAAACUUUAAUGGAGGAGUUCGCGCCAAGGUGUGCCUGGUGUGUUUCUGGAUGCGGGAGAGUGUCGUGCAAGGAACAUCAGUCCAUCAUUCAGAAGGAAACGCUCCAUCAAGGUUUGGAAAGCCAUGUAUGAAAUAUUAAUUAAUUACCACUAAAUCUCACUAUACCAUUGUGAAACUGGCACAGUGCAGUUUUAUGCAGGUUUUUUUCAGAAACUGUUGCCUUUUAUUUCAGCUACGUGAUCAUAGUACACUGCAUAAUUUAUACGUCUUUGAGCCUUUUGUAGGGCAUGUUGGUAGAAAAGC